rnacentral:lncRNA from 1 species
AUUCCAGUCUGGCUGUGGCUGUUAGAUAUGACUCGAAAUUUAUUAUCGACUAAGAUUUGGAUUUACGACUUGCCGAUAGCUUCGCGGUGCGACCAAAUUGAAAAAUUAAAUUGUGAAGAAAAAAUAAAUGUCUGUAGUGGGUAGCGGAGGGCUCGGGCCGUCAGGCCCGAGCUAUCGAAACCCGUUAUGAAUUUUUCUGUUCGUUUUUUUCUUAGAGGCGUGUGAUCGUGGUUGGUUGUAAUCUGAAGAACAUUGUAUUCCCUUUCGAUUCGAUAGUGAAAUUCUCUCCUCCCUCGCCGUGAUUUUUUUCCUGCAGAGAAUUUUCUACGUAAAUCUGUGUGUGUUAUAUUUAUUUUCUGCUUGUGAUUUGACUAUUUCGUAUUCGCUAUUUUUCGUUUUCCGUGCGUUUGCCGUAACACUGGCCAAUGCAUCGACGACUAGAAUUACAAAAUUGCUUUCUGAGUUCCCCACAAGCCAGAAAGCACAAGCACAAAUCACAACCGUAAAUGCUUCUAGUACCUCAUCUGAUUUGCGAGCACAUUUUGAAUCAGCUAUUCAAUCUUUCGCGAAAUUUCGAUUUCGCUUGUUUAACAUUUUAAUUCGUUCGAUUUUGAUUUGAUCGACGCAUUCAAAUUUUGGAACCUAUGUGUCGUUGGCCUGUUCAAAUCAAAUAAAUUGGAAAGUUAUAUGGUAAAAUUUCGAAAGUUUGAUAGUUUUG